rnacentral:lncRNA from 10 species
GUCUUCCACCAUUCUGAGAGGCAGGGGGAUCUUUGAGUUCUGCCAGGAGCUGGGGGUUAGGGGUAGGGGAAUCCCGCCCAAGGGAAAUGACUAGAAUCUUUGUCAGGCUGUGGAACACAGGCAUUUCUGGAUAGGUGGCCUCCCCUGUGGCCUCUCCUGGCAUCUACACUGCAAAGUCCCCUGUAUCUACUGAAAGGGGUGAGGGUGGGGGCAUUCAUUGGUACUGGGAGGCAAGCUUUGAGUGGAAAGGAGCUUCUCUCGUGGCCCUCCAGUGAGCCACACUAGAGGAGGCCUCAGAUGCAUGGUGCUCCCUGCUCAGACUCACACUUGCCUGACUCCCUCCUUCGUGCUCUUCCUUCGGCUGCCCUUACCUGGGGGACUACAGUGGCUGUGGGGGUGCAGCGGGGGUUGGGGGGGGCGGCAUACCUCACUACCUGGCUUUUCCCAAGUCCCUUUAAUUAAGCCAAAUCUUUGUAUGAAUGUAAAAUACAAGUAGGCUUUAUCCCUGGGCCCUGUGCUCCUCUGCCCCAGAUUCUGACUCAAGGGCUUGGAGCAGACUUAUUUUUACUAAAAGCCCAAGUGAUUCGAUUGCAGGUGGUCCUGGACAACACUUUGAAAAAUGCUGGGGCAGAAACAAGCCAGCAAGCAUAUGGGAUUCAUCUGCUAAGAGAUUAGGACACAGAUGCACACAGAGGGAAGACCAUAUGAACACAGAGGGAGAAGACAGCCACCUGCAAGCCACAGAGAGAGCCCUUCAAAGAAACCAACCCUGCAGACAAUUUGAUCUCAGGUUUCUGGCCUCCAGAAUUGUGAGAAAAUAAAUUUCUGUUGUUUAAG